rnacentral:rRNA from 1 species
AGAUUGAACGCUGGCGGCGUGCCUAACACAUGCAAGUCGAGCGGUAACAGGUGUAGCAAUACAUGUUGACGAGCGGCGAACGGGUGAGUAAUGCUUCGGAAUCUACCCUCUAGUGGGGAAUAACCAGCCGAAAGGUUGGCUAAUACCGCACACGUCCUACGGGAGAAAGCAGGGGAUCGUAAGACCUUGCGCUGAUGGAUGAGCCGAAGUCGGAUUAGCUAGUUGGUGGGGUAACGGCUCACCAAGGCGACGAUCCGUAGCUGGUCUGAGAGGACGACCAGCCACACUGGAACUGAGACACGGUCCAGACUCCUACGGGAGGCAGCAGUGGGGAAUAUUGGACAAUGGGGGAAACCCUGAUCCAGCGACGCCGCGUGUGUGAAGAAGGCCUGCGGGUUGUAAAGCACUUUUAGUGGGGAUGAAAUGUGCAGGGUUAAUACCUCUGCUAUUUUGACCUAACCACAGAAAAGCACCGGCUAACUCUGUGCCAGCAGCCGUA